rnacentral:rRNA from 1 species
ACGUGGAUUAAUGCCUGAUAGUCUCUACGGAGUAAAUGGUGCCUUCGGGUAUCGCUAGAGGAUGGGCUCGCGGCCUAUCAGCUUGUUGGUGAGGUAAAGGCUCACCAAGGCGACGACGGGUAGCUGGUCUGAGAGGACGAUCAGCAACACUGGAACUGAGACACGGUCCAGACACCUACGGGUGGCAGCAGUCGAGAAUCAUUCACAAUGGAGGCAACUCUGAUGGUGCAACGCCGCGUGGAGGAUGACGGUCCUAGGAUUGUAAACUCCUGUCAUUGGGGAGUAAGACUUAAGCGUUAAGAGCGUUUAAGUUUGAUAGUACCCAAAGAGGAAGG